rnacentral:lncRNA from 1 species
AACCACCUUGUCUCUCCCAGUGAGUGUGUUAUAAAACCUGAAUAGAAUGCAUGGAGCAGUUAUUUGAAGACCCUGCAAAGUGAAUAGUAGUUGGUGAAUCGGGAAAGAAAACCAGAAUUUGAAGUGUCUCUGAUCAGGCCAUUGAUUUUUUUCUCUCUGGCUUAAACUCAGUGCAACCCAAAACCCAGAAGUGGGUGCCAUGGUGCAGAGAGAGCUUCAGGAGAAACCCUCUACUUCUGGACUGAGAAGCAGCAGAGGGAACUCCUAACACUCAGAGAGGGAGAGAAAACCUGGAUUCAGACAAGCACGGUGUAAAGACCACAUGAAAACACGGAGAAGGCAUCCAUCUACAAACCAAAGAGACAGGGGUCAGAAGAAGUCAACCCUGCCGUCACCUUGAUCUCAGACACCCAGCCUCCACAACGGACUGCAACCUGGAACAAGGAGAGACAAAGGGAAGGAGGAGUCUGGAGCCAUAUUGAAGAUGAAAUUGAGAUAUGGACUAGGUGGUGGAUCGUUUUUAUAAGAGGACAUAAAAGAGGAUGCUAAAGCUAAUUGCCACAAUCAGAACUCAAAGACCUAGCAAAUGCAAGGUGGUAUUUAUUCUAAACUCAGCAAAGUAGUAGAAAAAUAGUUUUGAGAACAGUUUUAAGGAGACUAGGGUAACAGUGAGAAAAUAGUUCAUGGCUAGUCUGGACUUAGGACUUUAGGGUCGGCCUGGUGAAUUGAAGGGAAGCAGCUGAUACACUCUGGUUGCCUUGUACCCUGGCUUUUGGUGCUUUCCCAUGUGCUGUAGUCAUCAGUAAUCUGGAGGAAAUGCUAUAGAGGCAAAGACACCAUUAGAUGGGUGCUCAACUAGCAAACAGGAUGUGACCACAGAGUAGUUACCCCAAGACCAGGUCAGCAUGACCCAAAAGGCAGAAGAGGACAAGGUUUAUGAGUGUUGGGCUGAGCUCACGCCUGCUUGAACAUCUCAAGAACAAUGUUAAUGAUGGAAGAGAGAGAUAGGAGAGGAAACUCAUUAAACUUGCCAAAUAUGAGAUGUAGCUGGGUUGGCUCUAUGUAAGCAUGGCAGAAAAGCAUUUAGAAGUCAUAAUACAUUUAAAAUAAGAGCUACCAGCAUAGCAGUGACAUGAAGAAGGCAUGUGUUUUGUUAAAAAGUUUUAAAUACUCCUAUAAAAGAUAGUAAGGUACAAGUUGUUUGCUUGAUCAGCAAUGCUAAUUGCCUUUGAAGUGCAUGCCUGGGGAUUCCAUGGAGAGAGGACCCUGUUUCUCCACCCCAACCCAAAUUCACUGAGUUUAUGUCAGAAUGUUCAGAAGCCCCUUUACAAAUUCCUCUGAUUGCCUUGUUAGACACUGGCCACCUCCCUGAACCUGGGCCAAGAUGAGGGUCUACACCUUGGCUUAGUUCUACUAUGAAAGACUUUCCUGCAGUAAAAGUUACCUGUCUGAAACAUUCAGAAGAGUGAAAAUGCCACAUCUCCAAUUUCCAGCAAUAUAUUUGUCUGCCAUGAUUUGGCCUGGAAGCUUAAGCAGGAAGACCACUUGGAGCCAGACUUCAGAGUGAUCUGUCUCUAAGGAAUAACUUUCAUAUUGCAGCGUUCGGUUUUGCAAUUCUUCCUAAGCUACUCUAAAUUCGCAGCAUAAAUCUGCAGAAAGACUUCACCCUCCACAUCAAACCCUUAUAAGGAUCCAUUUCUGCUCUCAUUUUAGAAUAUCUUUUCUAAUAGCUAAAGGCAGACAGAGGCAAACCAAGAAAUCCAGACUUUGCAUCAACGGGUUAAAUCAUAUGUCAAAGGUGCAACCAUAACGUAUUACAAGCUUCUCAUCACAUAAUACAUCACUCAAGAAAAAAUAUUUGGGCAGCUUUUCUAAUUCAUCUUCCUGGUGUUAAAGGAGCACAUCUCCAGUGUUCGUGUCUUCUGUUUCAAUUAAAGCAAUCAUGCCUACUC